GAGGAAGGCACCGCUACAUACCCAGUCUUCACCAGCAGAGCCUGAGCAGGGACAGCCCUGAGUUUGACCAGCAGCAGGGGUCAGUGUGCCCCUCGGAGUCCGAGAUCUAUGAGGCAGGAGCGCCCAUGGCUGCUGCUGUACAGCCUGCUGCAGUGACUGUUGAAGUUGGUGAGGACCUCCACAUGCACCGCAUCCAUGACCAGGAGAUGCCUGAAGGUAAGGAGGUGAUGGGUGCCAUCUGCCCUCGUCUUGCCUCUGGUCCCCAAGGUCCCCUGGGAGGCAUUGCCCACUUCGAGCUCCUUUCUGCCUGUAGCCAGCUUUCCCGGGGCUGGCCAGGAACAAAAGCUGACUCUGCCUUGCAUCCCCACCCCUUAGUCUUUCUCCACCGAGUCCAGUUUCUUUUCCCCUCCCCUCCCAAUCGCCCAGUUCUUGCUCUCUCAUCUCAUUCUCCCAGGCUGGCAUGGGACCAUUUAUUUCUGGCUAUUCUUGUCAAAUAAGCAGCAGUCGAAUAAACGAGUUGAUAAAUUUUUAUAAAUGAUUACAUCUUUUUUUUUCUUUUCUCCCUCUAUACAUAUAGCUUUGGAGUUUAAACCUUCUGCCAAUUCAGAAGCAAGCACAAUAUUCCAUGGGAACUCUCAAACAGAUGCUUUGGAGUUUAACCCUCCUGCCAAUCCAGAGGCAACCACAAUAUUCCACAGGAACUCUCAAACAGAUGGUAUCUACUGUGCGUUUCAGUCAACAAUACAGCUCAUGUUCAACAAUCUUCCUUGAUGACAGCACAGCCAGCCAGCCUUAUCUUACAAUGACAAUAAUAUCAGUGACCUUGGAGAUACAUCAUGAUAUCACGCAAAGAGAUGCAGAUGGAUCUUUGAGCGUAUGUGAUGAAGAGUUAUACUCAUUUACGGUAAGUGGUGCUUUUAUUGAGGUUGUAUUUUCAUCAUACACUUGUAUCUGUUUCAUGCUAAAGUCAAAGGCAUCUUUUAUAAAAUCUUCCCCAUUUCAUGUUAUAUUUAGUCAUCUUAAGUGUUGUAAAAAGAAUGUGCUGGAAUAAGAACGGAUCUGCAACUCUGUUUAGUUAGUGAGCUAGUAUGAGUAAAUAUAUUAUCCAAAUAACAGAAAAUGUAUCUUUUUUUUUUUUUUUUUUUGAGGUGGAGUCUCUCUCUGUAGCCCAGGCUGGAGUGCAGUCAUGUGAUCUCGGCUCCCUGCAGGCUCUGCCUCCCAGGUCCCUGUUCAAGCAGAAACCUGAACCAAGUGAACAAGUUCAACAUCAUCAGUAAGAAGGACUAUCAGUGCCAUAACUCUGAUGGAAUGCACGGGGAAGGAUUCCACAUCAUUUUUGUGCUGUAAUUGCCAAAAGUGCAUAACUUCAGUCCAAUCGUGGAAAUACAUCAGACAAACCCAAAUUGAGGAACAUUUGACAAAUACUGAUCAGUACUAGUUCAAAGUGUCACGGUUAGGAAAGAUAAGGAAAGACUGAGGAACUGUCACUGCAGUCCUACAAAAUGGCAAGAGACUAAGAAAUUACUAAAAGCCCCGUGAUCCUGGAUGGCAUUUGGGAACAGAAAAAGGACAUUAGUGGAAAAAGUGGUGAAACUCCAAUAAGGACUUUAGUUUAGCUAAUAUGUUCAUUUUAAAUUAAAUAAUUUAAAUAUAUUUAAACAUUAUUUAA
rnacentral:lncRNA from 10 species